UAUCGGUGUGAGAUGGAUCCGCGUCUGAUUAGCCAGUUGGCGGGGUAACGGCCCACCAAAGCGACGAUCAGUAGCCGGCCUGAGAGGGUGAACGGCCACAUUGGGACUGAGACACGGCCCAAACUCCUACGGGAGGCAGCAGUGGGGGAUAUUGCACAAUGGGCGCAAAAAGGAUGCAGCAACACCGCGUGAGUGAAGAAGUAUUUCUUAAGAGAAGCUCUAUCAGCAGGGAAGAAAGGCCCUUCGGGGAGAUGA
rnacentral:rRNA from 1 species